rnacentral:lncRNA from 1 species
CAAAUUUAUUAAUUUAUUUUUUUUUCUUUUUUGAACCAUAGCUACUUCUAAACUAGAACUAGAGUCUUACAGUCCCUAUAGGAGGACUGGGUGCUAAAGGAAAGGUGAGCCAAGGGAACUAAGUCCACACAUCCCUGGUAAAGAAGAGUUGGUUUUAAACAGUUGUGUAUUGGUUUUUUGGAUACAAAGCAAUGACAGAGAAACUAAAGGUCAGGAUUUAGCAAAAGCCCUGUGUUUUUAUGGAUGCCUUUAAUGAGCUAGACAUGAUAAAUGACUUUGUCACUGAAAUAGCACACAGAAAGCUAUAACAUUUUACCUCUCAGAUCUGGGAUGUAAUUGGUACCACUUUCAUCACCCCUUCAUAGCAAACUGUGAAAAUCUAUUCUGGAGAUUGAUAUAUUGAUUUUUCUUUUUCCCAAAUGUAUGCAGAGGUGGCCGUGCUGGUUACUGGUGGAAAACAAUACAAAUACAUAAACACAACUGGCAAGUGUAGGAGGGGGUAUCUUGGCUCCUGCUCUGAAGGUCAACUGCCAGGUGCAAACUUCACCAUCCCAACACUCUGAUCUCCAGGCACCUUUUUAAAAGACCUGUCUUGCACCUCAGUUUCCCUUCUGGUUAAGCUAUAAGUGUCUAACUAAUACAGUUGAUUGAAAGAUAAACUAGUUCGAUAAGGUUUGGAGGCAAUAAGAAUACUGAAUGUCAUAUAUAAUUGCUAUAUAAAGGUUUGUUUAAAAAUCCCAAAGAAAACCUUUUUCAGGUCUAAACACAAGUUUAAUAAUCAUUCACAUUUCCUUUUUAGGAAAAUUAUCUGCCGGGGUAGCCAUCUUAGCUACUAAGAGAUUUAGC